AACGAACGCUGGCGGCAGGCCUAACACAUGCAAGUCGAACGCCGUAGCAAUACGGAGUGGCAGACGGGUGAGUAACGCGUGGGAAUAUCCCCCUCAGUACGGAAUAGCCCAGGGAAACUUGGAGUAAUACCGUAUACGUCCGCGAGGAGAAAGAUUUAUCGCUGAGGGAUUAGCCCGCGUAGGAUUAGCUAGUUGGUGAGGUAAUGGCUCACCAAGGCGACGAUCCUUAGCUGGUCUGAGAGGACGAUCAGCCACACUGGGACUGAGACACGGCCCAGACUCCUACGGGAGGCAGCAGUGGGGAAUAUUGGACAAUGGGCGCAAGCCUGAUCCAGCCAUGCCGCGUGAGUGACGAAGGCCUUAGGGUUGUAAAGCUCUUUUGGCGGGGACGAUAAUGACGGUACCCGCAGAAUAAGCCCCGGCUAACUUCGUG
rnacentral:rRNA from 1 species